rnacentral:rRNA from 1 species
GCAGUCGAACGAUGAAGCCCAGCUUGCUGGGUGGAUUAGUGGCGAACGGGUGAGUAACACGUGAGCAACGUGCCCAUAACUCUGGGAUAACCUCCGGAAACGGUGGCUAAUACUGGAUAUCUAACAUGAUCGCAUGGUCUGUGUUUGGAAAGAUUUUUUGGUUAUGGAUCGGCUCACGGGCUAUCAGCUUGGUGGUGAGGUAAUGGCUCACCAAGGGGACCACGGGUAGCCGGGCUGAAAGGGUGACCGGCCACACUGGGACUGAGACACGGCCCAAACUCCUACGGGAGGGAGCAGUGGGGAAUAUUGGACAAUGGGCGAAAGCCUGAUGCAACAACGCCCCGUGGGGGAUGACGGCCUUCGGGUUGUAAACCUCUUUUAAUAAGGAAAAAACGAAAGUGACGGUACCUGGCAAAAAAGCACCGGCUAACUACCUGCCAACAGCCGCGGUAAUACCUAAGGUGCAAGCGUUGUCCGGAAUUAUUGGGCGUAAAGAGCUCGUAAGCGGUUUGGCGCGUCUGCUGUGAAAUCCCCAGGCUCAACCUCCGGUCUGCAAUGGGUACCGGCAGACUAGAGUGUGGUAGGGGAGAUUGGAAUUCCUGGUGUAACGGUGGAAUGCGCAGAUAUCACGAGGAACACCCAUUGCGAAAGCAGAUCUCUGGGCCAUUACUGACGCUUAGGAGCCAAAGCAUGGGGAGCCAACAAGAUUAGAUACCCUGGUAGUCCAUGGCGUAAACGUUGGGCGCUAGAUGUUGAGACCAUUCCACGGUUUCCGUGUCGUAACUAACGCAUUAAACCCCCCCCCCCGGGAGUACGGCCGCAAGGCUAGAACUCAAAAGAAUUGAUGGGGGCGCGCACAUACCGGAGGAGCAUGCGGAGUAAUUCGAAUCCUCUCGCAGAAACUUACCAAGGCUUUGACCUAUACGCGCAACGUUCAAAAAUUGUCGCGCCGCAAAGGGCCGGAUACCAGUUGUUGCUGGGGUGGUCGCCACCUCCUGUCCCUGCGAUUUUGGGUUAAUUUCCC